CCUACGGGAGGCAGCAGUGGGGAAUAUUGCGCAAUGGGGGAAACCCUGACGCAGCAACGCCGCGUGAGUGAGGAGGGACUUCGGUCUGUAAAGCUCUGUUAAUGAGGAAAAAUGGUAGUUGGUCUAAUAGGCCGAUUAUUUGAUGGUACUCAUAGAGGAAGCACCGGCUAACUUCGUGCCAGCAGCCGCGGUAAUACGAAGGGUGCAAGCGUUGUUCGGAUUUAUUGGGCGUAAAGCGCGCGUAGGCGGACCUGCAAGUAAGAUGUGAAAUCUCGAGGCUCAACCUCGAAACUGCGUCUUAAACUACAGGUCUAGAAUCUCGGAGGGGGAAGGGGAAUUUCGCAUGUAGGGGUAAAAUCCGUAGAUAUGCGAAGGAACACCAGGGGCGAAGGCGCCUUCCUGGACGAGUAUUGACGCUGAGGCGCGAAAGCGUGGGGAUCAAACAGGAUUAGAUACCCUGGUAGUCCACGCUGUAAACGAUGAACACUAGGUAUUGGAGGAUUUGACCCCUUCAGUGCCGUAGCUAACGCGUUAAGNGUUCCGCCUGGGAAUACGGUCGCAAGACUAAAACUCAAAGGAAUUGACGGCNGAGAGNGCGACGACGACGACGAGGGAGAGG
rnacentral:rRNA from 1 species